rnacentral:piRNA from 1 species
UGGAACCCAGAUCUUUAAAUCUCCUGUC